AGGGGAGAGACUCACCCUCAGCUGCAUCGCCUUUGGCAUUCCCACCCCUCACUACCAGUGGUACAGAAAUGGACAUCCUCUGUUGGGCAAGACCAUGGACACACUGCAGAUAGAGAAUGCAGAGUCAGACCAUAGAGGAACAUAUCUCUGCUAUGUAUCCAAUGUUCAAGAGGAGAGAUGGACAGAGGCAGCUGAUGUUGAAAUAGUGCCAACUAAUCAACUCACAGGUAGGGGUCAGUGGAAAUACAGUGUUUUCUUUUUAUUUUAUUUGUUAUUUUUUGAAUUUUACCCCCUUUUCUCCCCAAUUUCGUGGUAUCCAAUUGUUUUAGUAGCCACUAUCUUGUCUCAUCGCUACAAUUCCCCUACGGGCUCGGGAG